rnacentral:tRNA from 1 species
GUUUUAAUAGUUUAAAAAAAACGCCGGUCUUGUAAAUCGAAGUUGAGAACCCCCCUUCUUAAAACU